GGGUGGGGAGAAGGAUGCCUACUCAAGAAUGUAGAAUGAUAGACAAACUGGACAACAUCAUCAGGACAGCACCAGUCAAUGGACAUCUGCAGAGAGCAGAGGAUCGACACAGUCUCAAAUCAUCUUCCUUCAAAUUACUUCUUAAUUACAAAAGGAAAAUACAUUUGACCCUUGGACAACACAGGUUUGAACCAUUCGGGUCCAGUAAUAAGCAUAGUUUUUUCAACCAGAUGCAGGUGGAAAAUAGA
rnacentral:lncRNA from 1 species